CCGACUGAGCGUCAGAGUUCUCCCUUUGCCGCAGUGCAUGUUCGUCCGCAGCAGCCGAAGGAUGCAGGCGAAAACAUUGGCGCGCCGAAAAAUGGGCCCGCAGCAGUGGCUCGGGCCUCGGCCUCGGGCAGCCUGUUCCUGCUGUCGCUUUAAAUCUCCCACACGCGCGUCCACACACUCACACACACACACAGGGAGACACACACGGGCAGACACCCGCGCGCGCGCCCCCCUCCCCAUAGCCGCAUGGGCAUUCCACACGUGUGUGCGGGCUCGCCGGGCCGUGGCAUGCAUGCAGCAGUGCUUAUUGUAUAUGGGGGGGGAACAGAGGGCCCUGUUCCCCCGCCUAUCCACACCCUCUCCUCCAGCACCCCGACCCACCGCCCCACCCUCAACCUUUGCUGUGGGACCCGCACCGGCGAUGCAGCCUGAGGAGAAAUAAAGUCUGAACAAAGCUAGACUGAGCGACAGUCACGUCUCAGGGAAACUGACUGGCGUGAGUGCAGCCUCUGGAAGGAAUCCGAUCACUUACAAGCCAAACAAAGCCCUCUUUUCUGUUGUUUAUUUAUUUAUUUAUUUAUUUAUUUAAGACGGGGGAGAAAUGCGCACUUUCGGUUCGGCUAGGCUAACCCUCUGCUUCGCCAAGGCGCACGCUUGUGGAGAGAAGCCUGCGGCGGCUGCGAUUGCUAGGGGAAGGACAUGCGGUGAAGACAUGCCCGGGGAAACGUCUGAAAAGGCACCGUCCCGGACGAGUUUGCGGCUUUUCAGUCUCACGGACGCACGGAUUUCAUGAAAAGGUCCCGCAGCUGCAGAAAUCAGGACAGAAAGUCGGUAGCCCCGGCAGUAGAGAAAAGUUUGCAAUGAGAAGUUUGCAGCGAUCAAGAGAGAAAUCUAUUUACAACUCUCCUUGUACCGACGAUUACUGAGCUAAGAUGUGUCGGCUGCCGCGCUGGGGCUUUUUACAGGCUUUGAGGCUAGUUUAAAAUGUUUGCUCUAGGAAAGCAGGGAGUUAUCACCACAGCCCUCUUUCUCCUCUUUACAUCACCUCUCAAACCCGACGUUCCUGUCCCUUGUGAGGACACCCCACAAACUGUGGCGGUCUGUUAAUAUUCCUCUCCAGAGCUAUUUGCAAGUUUAUUUACAGUUUCUGCUGCGCCCGGUCGCACUUCAGUUUCUAGUUGUUGCAGCUUCUAACCGCUGCGAGGGUUAGUUAUAGGGGAGCCCUGGAGCAAUUGACUGGUUUUCACCCUAAAGAAAUGUGUAAAGGCGUGCAUAGGUCACAUUUUAUUUUCCUGCCGAAUCUCGAAUCUCCCGUCCUCUUUCCCCCGGCACACUCUGAUAAUUUCUUGGCACCGAGCAGCUGCAUGGAUGUAGGAAACACUGAUGUACACGCUCUCGAAAGCAGGUUCUCUGUUCCUUAGUCCGCAGACAUCCAGAGCUUCGGGACACCCCAGCUCAACUAGCGUGACUGUUUGAACCCAGCCGACCCUACUAAGACAGCUGCCGGAGCAAAGAAAGUUCUUGGGAAGGAGGUCACCUCUUGUCCGUCGGGUGCCUACAAAGCGAGUUAGAACUUUUUCGAGGGACUGUGUUUGUGAAUGCGCCUAUUUUAUCCCUACUUUGGGACAGUUUCAAGCAAUAUGAAGAAAUAGGCAGUUGGGGACUUACCCGACUGAUCCUUUUCCAUACAUUAAGGGAUUAUAUUUGGGCCUUGUGGGGGGGAAAAAGGUAACAGUCGGCUAAUUUCUCUCUCCCCUACAGGUCUCUUCUUUUUCUUUUUCUCCCUACUUCAAAAUGGGGGUGAUAGCCUCAUCUUAAUUUGACUAGAAUGUUUCCAAAAGAUGACAGUGGAUGCAGAAAGCUGAGGUUGAAAUAAAUCGAGUUGGGACAUCCCGCUCCCUGCUCUUCCUUCCUCAGCAGCUGUUUGUUCACUGGAAACCUUAAACAGCUUCUUGAAAUGGACUAAAAGCUUUCAUUCCAAUUGUGUUGUUUCUGUUUCUCAAAGAAAACGCACUGAACUUUGCAACAGGCUUUGCCUCUAAACGAUGAACUACGGGACAUCUAAUUGCCUUUGGGGACGAGGGAAAACUUUAACUUGACGAGGUUUUUUUUUUUUUUAAAGUGAGCCGUCGGCUGGAGUUCUCUGUAACCGCUACUAGUCAGUUUCAUGGAUGACAAUUUCGACCUCUCCAAAGAUGCAAAUUAAAAUGUUCUGGACCAGGUUUCCAAACUGGGUAAGGCGCAAUAUGUAAGGGAUUAUUUCUAAAAGAAUUCUGAGAUUAGUUCUUUCCCUAAAGGACUCGCAGCUUUUUUUAUUUCCCCAUUUCUUUUUACCGCGCUACCGGAACGCCAAGAGAUGAUUUUUAUCAACGACAAUAAAAUGAAAACCUCUGGUUAUUGGGGUUCUUCCCACCCCCGAUGAACUGCUCCUUCUACACUGAGAGAAGCAAAACAGUAAUCUUCCUAGAGGUCAUGCGGGCUGCAUUGUUGGAAACUCGUCUCAAAUUUGCCUUAAGUCCCGACACCGACACACACACCUGGAACCACAGGGCGAACAGCGACUGCCGAAAUUCCUGCAGCAGAGCCCACUAUUAAAGGAGCUGCCAUAGGAACUUCAAACUAUCCUUGCUCUGUUACUCCCUCCCCAGCCACCUCCUCACGCAACAAACACACGGCCUCCUUUCUCAUUAGCUUCUCCGAAUCUGGGGCAAUAAAGUGCAAAAUAAACCA